AUGAAAUUAAUGAGAAAUAGAAUAGAAAAUACUUUAAAAUUUUUUGACUUUUGUGAAAAUGAGCAUAUAUUUUGAAAUUUUUUUUUCUUGAAUAUGGAGAUAUCAUUACAAGCUAAAACCUAUGCUUUAAAUAGUUAUGUGAAUGUUUGAAUAGCGUUUAAGUGCAACAAAGGUCAAUAAACAAAUCAAACAGUACGGUACCAAAUAUGCAAUACAUUAUCUGUUUUGGAGCUCAAAAAUAGAAUGUAAUAAAAGUUUUGAUGUUAUCAACUCAAGCUAUAAUAAAUCAACAUGAUUUAGUAUAAUAAGCAUAUCAACCAGCAAAUUACUAGGCACAUAAACUAUCAUUCGAUUAAGAUUAAAAAAUUUAGGGUUAAAUGUUACAAACUUUUAACUCUUAAAAAGUGAGAUCGUUAACCUAACAUUUAAUUUCUACUAUCAAAAUUUGCCAAAAGUGUCACUUAGUUACUUAGCAAUUUUUCAAGAUUUAAUUUUUGUACUUGCCGAUCAAAAUAAAAUUUUCCCUUUGUUUCGGUAUCUCUCAAACUCUUAAUUGAAAAUUCUAAUAAAGAUGAGAGAAGAUUUGCCAAUUAAAGCUGAACACUAGCUUUCUCAAGUUUUGGAUAGAUUAAAAUUAAUGGCUUUCCAUCACUUAAAAGUGGUUAAGUAUAAGAGCUUUUGAAAU
rnacentral:misc_RNA from 1 species